rnacentral:rRNA from 1 species
AUUGAACGCUGGCGGCAGGCCUAACACAUGCAAGUCGAGCGGGGUUUUCGGACCUAGCGGCGGACGGGUGAGUAAUGCGUAGGAAGCUACCCGAUAGAGGGGGAUACCAGUUGGAAACGACUGUUAAUACCGCAUAAUGUCUACGGACCAAAGUGUGGGACCUUCGGGCCACAUGCUAUCGGAUGCGCCUACGUGGGAUUAGCUAGUUGGUGAGGUAAUGGCUCACCAAGGCGACGAUCCCUAGCUGGUUUGAGAGGAUGAUCAGCCACACUGGAACUGAGACACGGUGCAGACACCGACGGGAGUCAGCAGUGGGGAAUAUUGGACCGUGGGCGCAGGCGUGGUCCAGCCGUGCCGCGUGUGUGAAGAAGGCCUUCGGGUUGUAACGCACUUUCAGUAGGGAGGAAUCGUUGUGUGUUAAUAGUACACAGCGUUGACGUUACCUACAGAAGAAGCACCGGCUAACUCGGUGCCAGCCGCCGCCGUAAUAC